UACGGAUUCGACAGGGGUAGUUUGAGCUUAAGUUGCGAGUCGAGGGGGUCGGCCUCGUUAAAACGCCAAAGCCAAUAACUGGCAAAACAAACAACAACUUAGCUUUAGCUGCGUAAUAGCACUUUAGCUGUUCCUCCCUCCAUCGCCCAUGUGGUAGGGUAAGGGACUCACUCUUAGUGGGCUACGCCGGUUGUCCUCCGCCUGAGGACGAUGGAAGAGAAUAAUCAGGCUAGCGAUCUGGACGCCUGUCGGCUGGCAGAUGGAUUCGCGAAACGCGAAUAAACCGACUACACUCGUAGAAGCUUAAGUGCCAAUAUCUUUGGACGUGGGUUCGAUUA
rnacentral:tmRNA from 2 species